rnacentral:rRNA from 1 species
AACGAACGCUGGCGGCAGGCUUAAUACAUGCAAGUCGAACGGGCGCAGCAAUGCGUCAGUGGCAGACGGGUGAGUAACACGUGGGAACCUUCCUCGUUGUACGGAACAACUCAGGGAAACUUGAGCUAAUACCGUAUAAGUCCGAGAGGAGAAAGAUUUAUCGCAAUGAGACGGGCCCGCGUCGGAUUAGGUAGUUGGUGAGGUAACGGCUCACCAAGCCAACGAUCCGUAGCUGAUCUGAGAGGAUGAUCAGCCACACUGGGACUGAGACACGGCCCANACUCCUACGGGAGGCAGCAGUAGGGAAUCUUGGACAAUGGGCGCAAGCCUGAUCCAGCCAUGCCGCGUGAGUG